rnacentral:rRNA from 1 species
UACAGAGGUCCCGAGCGUUGUUCAGAUUCAUUGGGCGUAAAGGGUGCGUAGGCGGCUUUCUAAGUCUGGUGUGAAAUCCUGGGGCUCAACCCUGGAACUGCACUGGAUACUGGGAGGCUAGAGUACUGGAGAGGAAACUGGAAUUUACGGUGUAGCAGUGAAAUGCGUAGAGAUCGUAAGGAAGACCAGUGGCGAAGGCGAGUUUCUGGACAGUUACUGACGCUGAGGCACGAAGGCCAGGGGAGCAAACGGG